AUUGCUUAAGAAACUUUGUCCAUAGAGAACCGUCUAUACGAAAACGAAAUUUUCCACUGGGAAUUUUAUUUCAAUUUCGUUAGCACCAGCUGCCAAGGCUUUUAAGUGUUACAAUUGAAAUUUACUUUAGUUAAAAGGAUGCAAUUCUGGUUUCACAAAAAGAGAUGAGACUGAGAGAACGUCGACUGGGACUCGACAAAGGAGUGCAAAGGGUUAAACAACAUCUGCAGUCGCUGAUCCAUGAGACACCUGGUGGAAAAUAGUUGAAAUUCCAGAGAAAACAAUUGAAACGAAGCUUGGAAACCACCCCGGUUUCCUCCACAAUUUCUCCAUUAUGGAGGAUGGCUUUGGUACACCAUCAGCUUGGUAACUUAAUCCCGGAGAAGUUAGAAGAAAGAUGACAGUACGAUGGAGCUGAAGAGGAGAGAAAUUGGCCCGAGGGUCUCCCGCUGAGAAACAAAUUUUUCCGCGAGCAAGUAGGUGCAAAGUACAGUAAGCUCGGCAGCAUUCAGCGGACCCGGGGAUGUAGAGGCGGUAGCACUCGAUGCUGUGCCGUUGGGAGCGUGCUAAUGGCUACUGACACACAGUUUUGAUGGAUCGGCCACGGCUCUUCCUCCUAUCCCGCACUCCGCCGCAACGAAAUAUGCGAGUCUAGCGAUACGCCGACGUUUCACGAUGAGAGGAAAUGCACUGACAAACAGGAAGACGAGCUGCAAAUGUUAUUGCGUUUCGUACGAACGGCAAUCCUGCUGAUGAUCAAUAUCUGGGUCAGCUAACGAAAAACAUUCGUUGAGAUACUAUUUUCAUGAAAUCCUUUGCGUUACACUGUGUCUCUUCAGUUACAUUUUUGGUGAAAGUCGUAGUUCGAGUAAGAGAACCGCCAAUAUCCUGUGUGACAGACGUUGAUCUCGUUUCACAAAUUGUACAACGCUUGUUACGCUCACAUUUUAUACACAAAUUUUCCUGCGAAACACAUCGAGAAUAUAUAUAUGUAAACUGCCUAGAGUUCAUGUAGGAUAGGGAUUCUUUUUGUUUUACGGGUAGCACGACAGGCUGUGUUUCACGGACAGAGCGA